UACGUAGGUGACAAGCGUUGUCCGGAUUUACUGGGCGUAAAGAGCGCGCAGGUGGUUUCUUAAGUCUGAUGUGAAAGCCCACGGCUCAACCGUGGAGGGUCAUUGGAAACUGGGGAACUUGAGUGCAGAAGAGGAAAGUGGAAUUCCAAGUGUAGCGGUGAAAUGCGUAGAGAUUUGGAGGAACACCAGUGGCGAAGGCGACUUUCUGGUCUGUAACUGACACUGAGGCGCGAAAGCGUGGGGAGCGAACAGG
rnacentral:rRNA from 1 species